AAAUGCUCUCCCCUGGGAGACACUGCUGGCCACAUUAUGGGGGUCUCCUAAGACAUCCAUUCUUGCCAGUCACAGCACGGCCCCAGUGACUUCUCCACACAGGCUGAGGUAUUCUUACCUUUGGGCCUUCUUACUCAAGCUUCUCAGUGAGCUGUACGUGGUGGCUGGUUCCUUCAUGUCAUUUACUCUCAGUUGAAGUGCCAUCUCUGCGAGAGGACAUCACAUUCACUGAAAUAACGAUCUCAUCGUCUUGUCUCCUUGUUUAAAUGAUCUGCCCAGGCAUCUCACUUACUGAUAAUUUUUCUUUUGACUGACAUCCAAAAUAUCCCAAACACCAUCUUACACAUGGUAGACACUCC
rnacentral:lncRNA from 1 species